UACGGAGGAGGCAAGCGUUAUCCGGAAUUAUUGGGCGUAAAGGGCGCGCAGGCGGCUCAUUUUGUCAGGCGUGAAAGCCCCGGGCUUAACCUGGGAACUGCGUUUGAUACGGAUGGGCUAGAGUUCGGGAGAGGAGAGUGGAAUUCCCAGUGUAGAGGUGAAAUUCGUAGAUAUUGGGAAGAACACCGGUGGCGAAGGCGGCUCUCUGGACCGAGACUGACGCUGAGGCGCGAAAGCGUGGGGAGCAAACAGG
rnacentral:rRNA from 1 species